CCAGUUGAAAAUGGACCUUGGAGGGAAAAAGUACGAGAAACCAUGAAGGAUCAAGUAGGAAGGUUCAGCGAAAUGAGGACAAAUCUACUACCUUGAAAUUGGCUGAUUUUGGACUUGCAAAGCAUGUGGUGAGACCUAUAUUUACUGUGUGUGGGACCCCAACUUACGUAGCUCCUGAAAUUCUUUCUGAGAAAGGUUAUGGACUGGAGGUGGACAUGUGGGCUGCUGGCGUGAUCCUCUAUAUCCUGCUGUGUGGCUUUCCCCCGUUCCGCAGCCCUGA
rnacentral:sRNA from 1 species